UUGCUUUGGCAUCAUUUACACUAAAAUUGGAAAGAUACAGAAAAGAUUAGCAUGGCCCUUGUGCAAGGAUGACAUGCACAUUUGUGAAGUGUUCCAUAAUUUU